GUGCCCAUGGCAGGGAAACAUUAUUGCUACAGGAGGGGGAUGGAAAGAUGGUGAGCUGAGAAUCUGGGACACCCAAUCAGCAUCUUGUGUUACUUCUGUGCAAACAAAUUCACAGAUCUGUUCUCUACAAUGGGCUGAAAAGAAGAGAUAUCUGGUUACAGGUCAUGGCCUACCUCAUCACAAAGUCACAUCUUGGGUGUGGGAGUUUCACUCUCUCAGCCCCAUUUACCAGUUCACAGGUCACUCUGAUCGAGUCCUUCACUUGGCCUUAAACCCUGACAAUUCUCAGAUUUUCUCCACCGGUGCGGACCAGCGCUUUCACAUCUGGGAUUUGUAGUAACCAGCGUCAUGGAACCGUGACAUUCAUAUUGAUA